rnacentral:rRNA from 2 species
UGGGGGAUAUUGCACAAUGGGCGAAAGCCUGAUGCAGCGACGCCGCGUGGGGGAUGAAGGCUUUCGGGUUGUAAACCUCUUUCGCUAUCGAACAAGGCCCGCUUAGGGUAGGUUGAGGGUAGGUGGAGAAGAAGCGCCGGCUAACUACGUGCCAGCAGCCGCGGUAAUACGUAGGGCGCGAGCGUUGUCCGGAAUUAUUGGGCGUAAAGGGCUUGUAGGCGGCUUGUUGCGCCUGCUGUGAAAACGCGGGGCUUAACUUCGCGCGUGCAGUGGGUACGGGCAGGCUUGAGUGUGGUAGGGGUGACUGGAAUUCCAGGUGUAGCGGUGGAAUGCGCAGAUAUCUGGAGGAACACCGAUGGCGAAGGCAGGUCACUGGGCCAUUACUGACGCUGAGGAGCGAAAGCAUGGGUAGCGAACAGG